rnacentral:ncRNA from 1 species
CCUAGCUAUACUUGUUUAAUACAAGUUACUAGGUCACAAGUCAGUUUAUUAGCACAUUAUUAAGGUUUAUUUUAAGUCAUAAAAUUCAACCACAACAAUUAGUAGCGAUGAUUUGCUUAAAAGGGGUGUGUGAAACUUGAAGUGGUGGUGGUAAUAAUUGAUAAAUUGGCUACUUUUA